rnacentral:lncRNA from 1 species
UUAAGACUAACGACAAAUAAUAACAAAUAAAUAAACAUAAUAAAAAUAAAUAGGAAAGAGACUUGGGCCCAAAUCCGGUUUUUCUGUUCACCUGGGCCGGUAUCUGGGCCCUUUUCGUUUUUGGCCUUAGGCCCAUUCGAAUUGCACCUGUCCUAAACUAAAAUAAAAUAAUUAUCCUGUCUUUGGGGCCUAAGGCCCAAUUUUUCACCUGUCCUAAAAUUCUAAUAGAAUAAUAACAAAAUUAAAUAACAAGAGCUUAUGCUCAAAACAACAAAAUACAAUUAAAAUAUAAAUAAACGAUCAAAAGUGGGCUUUUGGCCCAGUCUUUCAAUUCCCGACUUCUUGCACAUCCUUUCCGCUUCGGGACCUGUUCGUCGGAUUUAGUGGCUGGCUGACUCGAAUGAAGGAGUUUGAGUCUUUACGACUCUCUCGAAAUGCAAGAGGAGGAAGGAGUCCAUGAGGACCCAGAGACGGAUUUCAUGCAAAGCGAUAAACAAAUAACAAAAUUAGCAUUUUUGGGGAGGAAACAAAAUGAUGAAAAAUAAUAACAAUAAUAAAUAAAUAAAUAAAAUAACUUUAGUCAAUCAUCAUUAACAACACAACAAUCACACGAUAACUUAAAGGAAAAUUAAUGAAGACUUAUUAUUAUAUUUUUAUUUUAUCCUUUUAUUUCAUUUUUAUUUUUUAUAGUUUUUAAAUUUUAUUUUAUUUUUCCAUAAGUGACGAGUAGUGAUCAAGUGUCAAGUUUUGGAGCCAAGGUCAUAC